GCAAAAUGGAAUCGACGAAACAUUUGAAACAUGCUGUAGCGCUUGGAGUGCGGGCCGUUACUGGAUUAGAAUUAUUACUUGGUAACAAUAACUACGAUGGAAUGUUUGC
rnacentral:sRNA from 1 species